rnacentral:rRNA from 1 species
GAACGUCGUGAGACAGUUCGGUCCCUAUCCGUCGCGGGCGCAGGAAAUUUGAGAGGAGCUGUCCUUAGUACGAGAGGACCGGGAUGGACGCACCGCUGGUGUACCAGUUGUUCUGCCAAGGGCAUCGCUGGGUAGCUAUGUGCGGACGGGAUAAGUGCUGAAAGCAUCUAAGCAUGAAGCCCCCCUCAAGAUGAGAUUUCCCAUUCCUAUAAGGAAGUAAGAUCCCUGAAAGAUGAUCAGGUUGAUAGGUCUGAGGUGGAAGUGUGGCGAC